UAUACAUAUAGUCUGAUUUUGAAAAUCGGUGAAGGUAAGUAGCUACCAUGUAUAU
rnacentral:tRNA from 1 species